CGGUAUGCCGCCUGCCGGAAAGGGCGGCGGCGGGGCUGUCCCGCCAGGAAAGG
rfam:Firmicutes bacterium CAG:176_63_11 Ley3_66761_scaffold_4501, whole genome shotgun sequence.